rfam:Hordeum vulgare subsp. vulgare, WGS project CAJW01000000 data, contig: morex_contig_63228
AACAUACUCCCUCCGUCCCAAAAUACUUGUCUUAGGUUUGUCUAGAAAUGAAUGUAUCUAAAUACUAAAGUGUGACUAGAUACAUUCAUAUCUAAACAAAUCGAAGACAAGAAUUUUGGAACGGAAGGAGUAGUUG